UAUUCAACUCUCUUGAGAUUCUUCGUGUUCCUUUCUUUAGGCCAGAAGCGUCUUAAUAUCUCCAACCCUAAAGCACACAACCACACCAUCCUCCGAUGUUACCUACAAAUCCUUCUUAACCUUUCCACCUCCUGCUUCACAAUCCUCACAAUCGAUCUCUGCGAGAGAGAAGAAGUGAAAACCGACAAGGAGAAAAGGAGACACCGGCGAUGAUUCCGGUCACGGAUGCGGGGGUUGUUCUGGUCGAGAGCCUAGACUUCAAGUAGCAUGAUCUCACAAAUCAUUUUUCACUUCAACUUGUUCACCAAGCCACAGAUUUCUCACCUAGGGUUCGCACAAAUCUCCAAAUUGUGUCCAAUUUUCAACGAUUUCGUUUCUCUAGCACUACAAUUGAAUCCGAAAUGUUAGAUUAUUUUGGGAUUCAAAGUGGCGAUGGCAGUUACCCGAUGGUUACAGCUCCGACCAAUGAUGGGAUGCGGUAGCUUAAUCGGCUCAUGGUUCCUGAUUGAAGGAGAAACCAAGAUUCUCAACAAAGUGGAAGAUGACACUCACUGAUGCACUAUGCAAAGAGAUCGGACCCCAUGAACUUAAUCUUCAAUCAAAGGUUCUUGAAAUGUCCUACAACUGCGAUGGUAACGCGGUUGGUAAUUGGUCAAUAUGUUGUGCUCCAGAUCAAAACAAACAAUUUCAGCAAUCUUUCAAUGCUGUGAUCAUGACUAUAUGUUCCCCAAUUAGGCCCCACUUGGCAAUGUAAAAGAAACGAAGAUUACAAAGAUCGGAAGUCCAUUUCCGCUUAAUUUCAUACCAGAGGUGAGUUAUAUGCCAAUAUCAGUAAUAAUCUCGACAUUCAAGA